rnacentral:ncRNA from 1 species
UAUUUUUGCAGCCGUAUUCCGAAAGACGGAACACAUACAUAACAAUUAUUUACAUAAAUAUUAGCAUG